AAUCUAGCCUGGUGCUCAGCAAAGACGCCUUUCAGAGCUCAAGACCCAGUUUCUAUUCCCCAUGGAAGAUGGUUGUGGUUUUAAUAGUGGAGAGUAGGCAGACCUGGGGAAGCCAGACCCAGAAACUGCUUUUUGUGAAGUGGGGGUUUAGGGAGGAUAAACUGCAGGGUAGAAGAUAAGGCAGCUUGUUUGGUUUUGUGACCUUUGGGCUGCAGGGUGACAGAGAAGCCAGAUUAACUAUUUCUGUGACCUCCUGAGUCUCCAGAAGAGGGCUGGUUGCUUUAUGGAAUUCCAAGGGUCGCAGGGUCCUAAAAAAUUAUGGGCCAUUUUUAUGGCCCUGGUUUGGGAAUGAGGGGUUUCUUUUGCAUAUAAGUAGUACUUAAGCAAUAUAUAUUACAUAAGAAUUAUAGUGUGUAUAUUCUUACAUAAUAUAUAAGCAUCAUAUAUGUUAUAUAGGCAUAUGUAAGCAACCCAAAAUAUCUAUGCAACCCAGAGCUAGUUGGACAGCUGAAUGAGGGAAGCUCUGCCUCUACGAGUUCUCUUAGGAAGCCUGCAAGUUGAUCAAGUGCUGUCCUGGUUUGUCCCCGUUGUGCAUCCUAU
rnacentral:lncRNA from 1 species